AUUGAACGCUGGCGGCAUGCCUUACACAUGCAAGUCGAACGGUAACGGGCCUUCGGGUGCCGACGAGUGGCGCACGGGUGAGUAAUACAUCGGAACGUGCCCGAUCGUGGGGGAUAACGAGGCGAAAGCUUUGCUAAUACCGCAUACGAUCUACGGAUGAAAGCAGGGGACCGCAAGGCCUUGCGCGGACGGAGCGGCCGAUGGCAGAUUAGGUAGUUGGUGGGAUAAAAGCUUACCAAGCCGACGAUCUGUAGCUGGUCUGAGAGGAUGAUCAGCCACACUGGGACUGAGACACGGCCCCGACUCCUACGGGAGGCAGCAGUGGGGAAUUUUGGACAAUGGGCGCAAGCCUGAUCCAGCCAUGCCGCGUGCAGGAUGAAGGCCUUCGGGUUGUAAACUGCUUUUGUACGGAACGAAAAGCCUUCUUUUAAUACAGGAGGGUCAUGACGGUACCGUAAGAAUAAGCACCGGCUAACUACGUG
rnacentral:rRNA from 1 species